rnacentral:rRNA from 1 species
UUACAAUGAAGAGUUUGAUCCUGGCUCAGGACGAACGCUGGCGGCGUGCCUAACACAUGCAAGUCUAGGAGAAUAAGCGCUUUCGGGUGCUUUAGUAAACUGGCGAACGGGUGAGUACCACGUAGGUAACCUGCCCUUGGAUUGGGGAUAACACUGCUAACGCGGUGCUA